AACCAUAUAUAGUACAUAACCAACUUACAACAUAGUGACACAUAAGAAUUUUCUUUUUCUUUUUUAUUAGGGUGUGACUAUCAACACAAAUGCCUGGACUAAUGCUAGACAUUUUGUGAAUCAAAUCUAUGACAUCCUUUACAUGAUGGGGCGCGAUGAUAUCGCUGUUAGAGUUGGCGGCGAAGGUGGAAUACUAAAAGAUGGUACCAUUCUUCCUAAUGUUGGUGGAUAUCUUCCCAUAAUAGAACAUGCAUGAGCUCAUUGAUUGCCUUCUACAUGUUUGAUUUUUGUUUUUCGUCAUAAAAAAACUUAGUACAUUGCCAUAACAUGUAUAUCAUACAAUCUCAGUUAAAAGCCACUCUAAUUUGUGUUUAGUUUAUGUAUGUCAGGGUGUUACAACCACUGGGGGAUGUAGAUAUAGACAAGCUAUCCCAGUAGGUAUUGGAGGUCGUCUGGAUGUUGAUACAAAUUUUGGCAUUAGAAAAGCUUUUCUUCCUCAGGUAUAUUGAGAUGAUUUCUUUGGAGCAAUUCUUGACAACAUUAUUAGUUAAGGCCUUUAGAAUGGAAGAA